GAGAAGAAUUCAGAAAAGAGAGAUGAGGAGAGGAGUGGAGGAAUAUUGAAAGACGAGAGAUGUUGAGUUAAUACUUUCUUAAGACCAUGUUUUAUUCAACGAUCUUUGGGAAUUCUCGAUUAUAUAUUAAAUCUCGUCGUUUUGAUAAUUAAUCGAUUAAUUUCGCAUUCUUCCAUUCCAAGUUUCUUUUUUUCCUAGAAUAAUCUUACUUUUAUUGCAACGAUGUGUGUAAUAAAACAAGGAGAGUGGAAGAGUGAGGAGGAAAAAAAAAAGAAAUAAAAUAAAAUAAAAAUAACAGAGAAAACAAGGUUUCAUUAUUUAUAUUUCUAAAUAAAUAACGAAUUCGCGUCGAAUUAUAAAAAAUAAUUACAAUUAGUCUUACAUUAAAUUCAGUCUUGUAUCUCUCCAUAAAAUAAGUCUAAAAUAAUAAUUACAAUUUUUAUCUUAACAUUAUUAAUUAAAUUAUGUAUAAAUGGACAUAAUCGUGCUUUACUAAAUAUUAUUUUUCUACCAUUUUCUAAUCAAAAUCACAUUCACAGAAAACUUAUUCAAAGAAUAUAAUUUAUAGAAAUAUUAAUACACAAGUACAUUUAAUUUCUACAUUCUAGAACGAACAUUUUGUCAAUAAUCUCUGAACAAGGCAUGCUGUCUUCAAAGGGCAACUUGUACGAAUUGACCUUCUCGUUCGAUCCCGUGAACCUUUGUGGACGUGGAUGAUGGAUGAGACUACAAAGUUACUAAUCUUUUCUCUUGAGCCUUCUUUUUGCCGUCGAGUCUUCGAAAGUGGAAAAAAUUCCUGAAAAUCGAUAUCCAUGGUUUCAACGACGGCAAGGAAUAGCAGGAAAAUGGCCUCGUCCAUGGUCAAGAUCUAUACCAGAACUGAACGCAUCCGAAUUUCGAAGCUUUCCUUUUAAAGGGAUUUUCUCCCCCUUAUUGGGGACGCUUUCGAGAACCUGAAAGUAAAAUCUUUGACCUGCUACCCUACCUGGAAUUUUAGGAAAGUAAUUAAAGAUAAAAUUAAGAGACAGAAUUAACAAUAGCGGAACAAUAGCUAAUUCUUCUAAAGAAUUUUUUUUCUUUCACAGUGAAAAUUAUUUGGGACAAUUAAUGGAAGAUAAAAAAAAAAAAAACAAAUAAAUAGUUCCACGUCACGUUCUUAAGGAAAUGUGAAAUAUGUAUAUAUAUAUAUAUAAAUAAGUGGAACAGGAAUUUUUUUCGAUUGUUAAGAAACUUUUGUCGAUCAAAGUUACUCGAUCUUUAAGGAUGUCAUUGCCACGUGUCGCCGUCGUUGAGGAUUUCCACGUAAUGAUUAUAUCAGCCGCAAAUUAUGCCUACGCGUUCGAUAUAUAAUGAACACGAUGGCGGAAAAUGUAAAAUGGAAAAAUGAAGAAGUGACAGAGUCACCAAUAAUAGUUAUUUACGAUCAUCGUUCAAUGUCGCCGUUUGUCAAUCUUUCAUACAUUGAUUAUGAACCGUGAAACAAGUGUAUUCGCACAUCGACCGAUAUAGCUUCUUGAGAGAAAUUUGUAAAAAUUAUCGUACGCGAAUUGAUAAGAAAAGUAAAAAGUGCAACUCGUUUUACGCAAGAAUCUCGACAAAUUUGAUGACUGAAUAGCUUUCUUAGCAAAAGGCGUGUAUUUAAAAAAUGGAUUGAAAUAAAUUAAACGAAAGAUUUCGUAAUUCCAUUACUUAACGAUUCCACGUUACGCUUAUCUAAUAGUUUUUUAAUGAACUAAGGUCAAAGAUAUCCACCGAUAGAAAAAAAAAAAAGAAAAGAAAAGAAAAGAAAAGAAAAGAAAAGAAAAGAGAGAAUUUAAAAUUUUAUACGAGUUCUUAUACGUUUUAAUGACGGAAAUAAAAAUAAAUAUUCAAUAAUAUUUAUAUUGCGUAAGAGCGUGAAGUAUGAUAAGCUAGGAUAAUAGAUGGAAACUCCGUGGAAGUCGUAAAAAUAAAUAAAUGAUACUUAAUGUAAAAACAAUUGUCUGUAAUUACGCGCAAAUUAUGAGAAUUCGCGUGCACAGAUAUCAAUAGGAGGAGACAAAUAUACCGGCAUAUUUUUUUUUGAUUUUCACUUCGUUCCUUCGACUAUGUUUAUACGACAAUAUAUCCGGUUCUUUACAUUUACAACAGUUAAUUAUUCCUAUACGUAAAUUAUACUUUAAAAAAGUUUGGAGAAGAAUUGAAUUGUUUUGAAAGAGAAAUAAGUAUAAUUGAAUUUAUUGCAGAUAGAGAUUGUACGAAGAUCAUACGCCUUCGCAUUUAUUCGUAUUCGCUUAUAAAUUAAUAAUAUAAAAAUGUCUUUCUUAUUAGUCGAUAAUUAAAAUACUAUAUCGCAAAUUCGAUUGGAUGCUAUGUAUAAAGAUAGAAAAAAAAAAAA